GGUGGUUCUGAUCAGCAAAUAAGGAAGGGACAACAUCUGACAUCUUUACCUAUUUUAACUCAUCAAGCAAAGAACUUGGAAUACCCUGAAUGCUGCAUAGAAGGUUUUGAAACUACUUACCUGCUAUGGAACACCUGCAUGACUUUAAAAUGCAUCCAUCAAUCUCAAGAGUGUGGCCACGCUUCCCACUUUUUAGGAUCUAAAGUCAACUGCAACUCCGAGUGCACAAGACUUCUUUGGGACCCACGAAAGUGUCUCUACAUGCUCAUGUUUGCCAGAUUCAGUGGUCUGCUGAAACCUGACCCUAGCUAAUCAGUUAAAAAGCUCUAAGUAAUCCCGAGCUGCAUCUGAAUGUCCAAGAUCACUUGUUCAUUGGUUGGUAAUACUUUAAAGAGCCGUUUGUUUAACUGCUAAUCUGGAUCUUAUAUUCUGAGCCCCAGUUUUUUUCUAAAGCAAAGAAAAUACAACAUAAAAGUAAGACCAAACGCCUUUGUACCAUGGAGAGAGAACUGACUCAUUGGAAUGCUUCUGUUUUUCAUCACAUCAAACAUGCAUCAACAUAAAUCGAUCAUUAUAUCAUGUACCAUCAUAAAAAAGGGGUAUAAAAGCUCCCAAACCACUGCCAAUUAAACCAACACAGUGCUUUUGUAUUAUUCAGAAUUUUUAUCUUAGCCUUAUUGAAAGAGCUUUUUUAGAACAUAUUUAAACAAUUCUGUCAUAUUUCAUUCUUGCAUAAUCAUUAAAAAGGGAAAUAAGAGAGAUAUAAAUGAAA